rnacentral:lncRNA from 1 species
UUAUCUUCUUCUCCUUAGUGAGUUUAGUCCAUAGCUAUCACCUUAUCAUGUUAGUAAUUUCAAGUUCAAAUUUUUAUUAAUUAUCUUUAAUUUCUUAUUAUGUAGCUUGCAUAAAUUAAUUGCACUGAACACACCAAUUCUUCAUCUCUUUCAUUUUUUUUUCUUUUUUAAUUGAUCUUUCGAAACGAGUGAAAACUUCUACUUACAUGGAGGAGAUGAGUUACUGAUUCACAGAGCAUUCUACUAAAUAGCUUUGUGCUUACCCAACUCCUUAGAUCGAUCAUCUUGGUGGUGUUUAAAGCCCUAGCUUGACAGAAUGAAUAAUUCUAGAGGUUAGGGUUACGCACACCUCCACAUUUUUUCCAAAAAUUUUUAAAAUGCAUUAAUUACUUUAUCUGCUUUUUGCAUAUGAAUAUAUUAAUUUGCGGUAUUUGAUAAUAUAAUUUCUUUCUUAUAUCUUACAUCUUGAAGUUUUAAGCAUUUCACAAACUUCUAAUUACCAACUUGUGAUUCUGGAUAUUGAUCGGAGUAUGUGUCAAAUAAAUUUAUUUAUAAUCUGUUGUUUUUAUCUUUAAUUAGUAAAGAAAAACUUUACGUUCAUUGAACUCAAAGAAUUGGCUCUAAUUAUAAUAACUUAUUAAUCAAUAAUAUGGAUCGUUUUAAG